rnacentral:lncRNA from 1 species
AGCAUAACCAGGUAAAUUAUCAAAUUGGUUCUUAUGAAAAAGUUUAAUGCUUUCAUUAUCUCCAAUAAAAGAAAAACCAUUCAUUACAAACUUAGAAACUGAAAAUGAAUUCAUUCUCAUAGAAGGUACAUAUAAGACAUUAUUCAAAGUUAAAAUAAAGCCAGAAGACAACUCUAAUUUGACACUUCCAAUAGACUCGACAUCUACUUUU